UCUCUCUCUUUUCCUGUCUCCCUUCAUAGGUUCUAUGCAGGCAGAUGUGUGUCACAGCUGUAACUGAGGCACAGAGCAAUAAACAUAGUGGAGCCAAUUUCCACGAUGGCAAGAGGGGCCACCGGAGGUGACAACAAUGACAAGGACUCAAGGACCUUCCUUCUGACAAGUUUCAGCACAGAGCAUCUUCAAGAAAAAUGGGUUUCCUGAGAAGAGGCAUCCUCCUCGAACUGCAAGGUAUCCAAAGAAGACAAAUACUCCCCGGUAUGUG